rnacentral:rRNA from 1 species
AGUGAACGCUGGCGGUAGGCCUAACACAUGCAAGUCGAACGGCAGCACAGUAAGAGCUUGCUCUUACGGGUGGCGAGUGGCGGACGGGUGAGGAAUACAUCGGAAUCUACUUUUUCGUGGGGGAUAACGUAGGGAAACUUACGCUAAUACCGCAUCGACCUACGGGUGAAAGCAGGGGAUCUUCGGACCUUGCGCGAUUGAAUGAGCCGAUGUCGGAUUAGCUAGUUGGCGGGGUAAAGGCCCACCAAGGCGACGAUCCGUAGCUGGUCUGAGAGGAUGAUCAGCCACACUGGAACUGAGACACGGUCCAGACUCCUACGGGAGGCAGCAGUGGGGAAUAUUGGACAAUGGGCGCAAGCCUGAUCCAGCCAUACCGCGUGGGUGAAGAAGGCCUUCGGGUUGUAAAGCCCUUUUGUUGGGAAAGAAAUCCAGCCGGCUAAUACCUGGUUGGGAUGACGGUACCCAAAGAAUAAGCACCGGCUAACUUCGUG